rnacentral:rRNA from 1 species
UAAAAACCCCGACUUCGGAAGGGGUGUAUUUAUUAGAUACAAAACCAAUGCCCUUCGGGGCUCUUUGGUGAUUCAUGAUAACUAUACGAAUCGCACGGCCUUGCGCCGGCGAUGGUUCAUUCAAAUUUCUUCCCUAUCAACUUUCGAUGUUUGGGUAUUGGCCAAACAUGGUUGCAACGGGUAACGGAGGGUUAGGGCUCGACCCCGGAGAAGGAGCCUGAGAAACGGCUACUGCAUCCAAGGAAGGCAGCAGGCGCGCAAAUUACCCAAUCCCGACUCGGGGAGGUAGUGACAAUAAAUACUGAUACAGGGCCCUUUCGGGCCUUGUAAUUGGAAUGAGUACAAUUUAAAUCCCUUAACGAGGAACAAUUGGAGGGCAAGUCUGGUGCCAGCAGCCGCGGUAAUUCCAGCUCCAAUAGCGUAUAUUAAAGUUGUUGUGGUUAAAAAGCUCGUAGUUGAACCUUGGGCCUGGCUGGCCGGUCCGCCUCACCGCGUGCACUGGUCCGGCCGGGCCUUUCCCUCUGUGGAACCCCAUACCCUUCACUGGGCGUGGCGGGGAAACAGGACAUUUACUUU